GACGAACGCUGGCGGCGUGCUUAACACAUGCAAGUCGUACGGUAAGGCCCUUUCGGGGGUCCACGAGUGGCGAACGGGUGAGUAACACGUGAGUAACCUGCCCACAACUUUGGGAUAACGCUAGGAAACUGGUGCUAAUACUGGAUAUGUGCUCCUGCUGCAUGGUGGGGGUUGGAAAGCUCCGGCGGUUGUGGAUGGACUCGCAGCCUAUCAGCUUGUUGGUGGGGUAGUGGCCUACCAAGGCGGCGACGGGUAGCCGGCCUGAGAGGGUGACCGGCCACAUUGGGACUGAGAUACGGCCCAGACUCCUACGGGAGGCAGCAGUGGGGAAUAUUGCACAAUGGGCGCAAGCCUGAUGCAGCAACGCCGCGUGCGGGAUGACGGCCUUCGGGUUGUAAACCGCUUUCAGCAGGGACGAAGCUUUUUGUGACGGUACCUGCAGAAGAAGCACCGGCUAACUACGUG
rnacentral:rRNA from 1 species